rnacentral:rRNA from 1 species
AGUGAACGCUGGCGGUAGGCCUAACACAUGCAAGUCGAACGGCAGCACAGUAAGAGCUUGCUCUUACGGGUGGCGAGUGGCGGACGGGUGAGGAAUACAUCGGAAUCUACUUUUUCGUGGGGGAUGACUUAGGGAAACUUACGCUAAUACCGCAUACGACCUACGGGUGAAAGCAGGGGAUCUUCGGACCUUGCGCGAUUGAAUGAGCCGAUGUCGGAUUAGCUAGUUGGCGGGGUAAAGGCCCACCAAGGCGACGAUCCGUAGCUGGUCUGAGAGGAUGAUCAGCCACACUGGAACUGAGACACGGUCCAGACUCCUACGGGAGGCAGCAGUGGGGAAUAUUGGACAAUGGGCGCAAGCCUGAUCCAGCCAUACCGCGUGGGUGAAGAAGGCCUUCGGGUUGUAAAGCCCUUUUGUUGGGAAAGAAAAGCAGCAGGUUAAUACCCCGCUGUUCUGACGGUACCCAAAGAAUAAGCACCGGCUAACUUCGU